AACGUAUUUUCGUGGAACGUACAUGAAAAACGCACGUAAUAACGAUUUUUAUGUAAUAUUGUUCAAUAUUGACGCUUUAUUGCAUUCCUCGACGCAGCAUUCAAUCGAGAAAAUUAUUUUUUCAGUUACGUCGAUCCAACGCUAAAUUACCUGCCAAAUUGAUUACUAACGCGAAACCAGCGUAAUAUUACCACCAACAUCAGUGAUAUCGCUUCACAAAGCACGCUGUAAAAUGUCAACAAAGCAAGCUCUUCUGCCGGCAGUCAGUCUAAUUUUCAUCCCAUUCUGCUCGCAUCGAAAAACGAUGAUUAUUCAAAUAAUAUUAGUUUAAUUGCUUUUCAAAACCAAAAGUAAGUCAUUAGGAAGUGGUUGAAAUAUAAAACAGUGUUUCCGACCUGGUAUUUGUGACAAAAUCUCUUGUAGAAAGACGAAUAACGAGAAGGAUGAUAUGGAACCGCAAAGUGCUUCGUUGAUACCUUCGUGGAAUUGGCACUGUAAGUGAAAUUGUACAGUUUCAUCAUCGUACACGAGUAACCGGCCCAGUGUCCGAUCUCUUUCCAAUAAGACUUCAGACUUUCUUGCAGAUCCAAACUACCAAGGUUGGAUUCUGGAUGAGUAUGCCUGAUGAAGUACCGUAAAAGAUCAACCAGGAGCAGGAAGCAGGAUAAAUGAAACCGCGCUGGUAAGUUUUUAUUUCUGAUCGACUGAAAUGAAAACCGUCCCCGACCAGUAGGGACACGGCAGGUAUUUCCGUCCAUCGUCGUAGGGGCUAAUACCAACGAAAGCAACGUACAUUUGCUAGAACCCCACUAUAGCAGAACGUUUCUCCUGAGCUUACGAUUUGGCAAUUUUUGCUACAGAACAAAAUUGUCAGGAUCAUGCUUCGACCUACUAUUUGAUGGAGUCCGGUACAAGAGCAAUCUGGCGGAAUGGGAUUAACGGAAGUAGUUGCUAAGCAAUGGUAACAUGCGAGUAGUCGAAGAAUGCAGUCACGGCCUGAUCAGCAUCCUAUAGUCGUGUCAACAAGGAAAAACAAGACGUAUUAUGUAAUAAAAAAAAACAAAAAUUGAAAUUUUAAAGUUCAAAAAUGAGACAAUAAAAUCCUAAAAUCUUAAAAACUUAAAAUCUUAAAAUCUUAAAAUCUUAAAAUCUUAAAAUUUUAAAAUCUUGAAAUCUUGAAAUCUUGAAAUCUUGAAAUCUUAAAAUCUUAAAAUCUUAAAAUCUUAAAAUCUAAAAUCUAAAAUCUAAAAUCUUAAAAUCUUAAAAUCUUAAAUCUUAAAAUCUUAAAAUCUUAAAAUCUUAAAAUC